GACGAACGCUGGCGGCGUGCCUAAUACAUGCAAGUGGGACGCAAGGGAACACACUGUGCUUGCACACCGUGUUUUCUUGAGUCGCGAACGGGUGAGUAACGCGUAGGUAACCUGCCUAUUAGCGGGGGAUAACUAUUGGAAACGAUAGCUAAUACCGCAUAAUAUUAAUUAUUGCAUGAUAAUUGAUUGAAAGAUGCAAGCGCAUUACUAGUAGAUGGACCUGCGUUGUAUUAGCUAGUUGGUAAGGUAAGAGCUUACCAAGGCGACGAUACAUAGCCGACCUGAGAGGGUGAUCGGCCACACUGGGACUGAGACACGGCCCAGACUCCUACGGGAGGCAGCAGUAGGGAAUCUUCGGCAAUGGACGAAAGUCUGACCGAGCAACGCCGCGUGAGUGAAGAAGGUUUUCGGAUCGUAAAGCUCUGUUGUAAGUCAAGAACGUGUGUGAGAGUGGAAAGUUCAC
rnacentral:rRNA from 1 species